rnacentral:lncRNA from 1 species
CUUGUGAUGAAGCAGCAGGGAAUCAGAGACUCAUUACAUACACAAGUAAUAACUAAAUUAUGUUUGUUUUUUUUUAAAAAAUUGGGCUGUAAUAUAGAGAAUGGGAUAGGUAAAGGAGAUAGGCAUGAAGUUUAGAAUGGGUUUGCAAUAAUCCUCAAAAAUAAAAACUGAUAUAGACCAGAAAUAAGGCAGUUCUGAUGAGAGCUGGUCCCUUAAUUUAUCUCUAAGUUAAAUGGUGGAAUGUAGUGACUGAUAAGAUGUGAAGAAGCCUAAAUGACAAAAGUUUCAAGCUCAGAUAAUUUUCAUGGAGAGUGUUUCUAUUCACCAAGGGAGGCAAAGACAAUUUUGGUAGAAAGGUGAAUUUUGAACAAUUAAAGGAGUCACUUGAAAAUAUGAAUUCUGCAGCUUCAGAAAAAGAACUGGCUAAAGAUUGGUAGUUAUCACUGUAUUGAGCACAGUUGAUCUUUCUGGAAUAGUACUAAACCUUCUGAGAAGAGUAUUACAAAGUGAGACUGCUACUGAUGUGUUAAUUAAACAAACAAACAAAAACAUGCACACAAAGAGGUCACUGAGAAGACUGCCCCAAAGUAUGCAUAAUGAACAUACAGUGCUAGGAUGAGAACCCAAGGCAGAUGGAGGACUGACUGGGAAACAAUGGGUCAGAAAGGAAGAAGAAUAGUAGUUUUAUGACAGAAGAAAUAGGAAUAGAUGAUGAAAAAGAGGCCCAGUAGGAUAAAACUUGUAAAAGGAUGAUGGUUUUAACAGUUAAGAAAUCAUUGGUGAUGUCUCAUAUUCAGUAAUCAACAAAAUCAAAAGUGGAUUUUUAAGUUUUAAUGGUCAUCAC